UCUUGACUAGUAUAUCGGUUUAGUACAGCCGCUUGUCAAAUUCCGCGAUCGCGGCAGAGCUGGGUUCGACUCCCAGGUCGAGAG